UCCCCGCCCCCGCCGCCGCCUCCCGCCGCCGCCGGCAGCGUCCUUGCGGCAGGAAGAUGCCCGGGGAGGUGCCGCCGCCGGCGCCCCGGGGGCUGCGGAGCCUCCCGCUGCUGCUACUGCUGCUGCUCAGCGCCCGCGCCGCGCUGGCUCAGCGCUGGCGCAAUGAGAACUACGAGCGGCCCGUGGACCUGGAGGGCUCCGGGGACGACGACCCCUUUGGAGAAGAUGAGCUGGACGACAUCUACUCCGGCUCUGGCUCGGGGUAUUCUGAGCCGGAGCCGGGGCUGGACACGGCCGUGAGCCUGACCACGGACACGCUGGUGACGCUGCCCACCACGGCGGCCGUGCUGCCUGUCACCGCUGCCCAGCCCGUGGCAACACCCCUGGAGCCGUCCCCCACCCCCCAGGACACCACCCCCGGGCAGGCCACCAGCGCCUUCCUCAUCCCCAGGACCACAGAAGCACCGGUGGUGCCCAGCUGGAAAGCCACCACCACCAGCACCACGGCCAGCGAGCCCCCAACAACCACCACAGCCACCACCACCACCACCACAGCCACCACCACUGCAGAGGCCACCACCACCACCACCACCACCACCACCACCACGGCCACCACCACCACCACGGAGGCCACCACGACCACAAGCAGCACCACUGUGGCCAUGGCCAAGCCCACAACCAUCCGGAGGUUCCUGCCUCCCUUGACCACCAAGGCGGCCACCACCCGGGCCACCACCCUGGAGACCCCCACCACACCCGCCCCUGAAACCAGCACGCCGACAGAGGUGGCCACGUCACGCCUUGUCCCCACCAGCACGGCCAAGCCCAGGGCUCUGCCAAAGCCCAGCACCUCGAGGACUGCAGAGCUCCCCGAGAAAAGCACGGCGUUGCCACCCAGGGCCACCACGCAGCCGCCCACAGAGGCCCCCCAGAUGGAGCCAGGGGAGGUGACAACAGCCCCUGAAAAGGAGCCGGAGGUCCCGGCCAGCAGUGGCCCCAGCGGGGACUUCGAGAUCCGGGAGGAGGAGGAGACGACUCGUCCUGACCUCGGGAACGAGGUGAUGGCUGUGGUGACGCCGCCGGCGGGGCCGGGACCCGGCAGGAACGUGGAGACAGGGCUGAUGGACAACACGAUAGACUCGGGCAACUCGGCUGCUCAGCUGCCCCAAAAAAACAUCCUGGAGAGGAAAGAGGUGUUGAUAGCGGUCAUCGUGGGUGGCGUGGUGGGCGCCCUUUUCGCCGCCUUCCUGGUGAUGCUGCUCAUCUACCGCAUGAAGAAGAAGGACGAGGGCAGCUACACCCUGGAGGAGCCCAAGCAGGCCAACGUCACCUACCAGAAGCCGGACAAGCAGGAGGAGUUCUACGCGUAGACGGAGAGCCCAGAGUGCCUCACGCUUCCUCCCUCCCUCCCUCACCGCUCCAAACCCUCCCCCUCCUCUCCUCCAUCCAGUCUCUCUCUCCCCUCCCUCUUCUCUCUCUUUUUUUGGGAUCAGACUGUGAAUUUUUAAAAGCAAAACCCACAAUGGCUGAAGGAGGAAACUCGCCCUUGGCAUGGGGGGGCACGGGGUGCCCAGAGCAGUGCCGUGGUCACACUGAGCGUGCCUGGGUCACACUGAGCAGUGCCGAGGUGACACCGAGCAGCACCACGGUCACACCGAGCAGCGCCUGGGUCACACUGAGCACCCCGAGGUCACACCGAGCAGCACCUGGGUCACACCGAGCAGCGCCUGGGUCACACCGAGCAGCGCCUGGGUCACACUGAGCACCCCGAGGUCACACCGAGCAGCACUGCAGUGACACCGAGCAGUGCUGCGGUCACACUGAGCGUGCCCAGGUCACACCGAGCAGCGCCAAGGUCACACUGAGCAGCACUGCAGUGACACCGAGCAGCGCCAAGGUCACACUGAGCAGUGCCAAGGUGACACCAAGCAGUACCACAGUCACACCGAGCAGCGCCGAGGUGACACCGAGCUCCUCCAAGGUCACACCGAGCACCCCGAGGUGACACUAAGCAGCGCUGCGGUGACACUGAGCAGCACCAAUGUCACACUGAGCACUGCCAAGGUGACACCGAGCAGCGCCGAGGUGACACCGAGCUCCUCCAAGGUCACACUGAGCACCCCGAGGUGACACUAAGCAGCACUGUGGUGACACUGAGCAGCACCGAUGUCACACUGAGCACUGCCGAGGUGACACUGAGCAGCACCGAGGUGACACCGAGCACCGCUGGCCUUUCUGCUGGCGGGAGGGACGGGACAUGGAGCCGAUGCCAAGGAGCCGAUGCCAGGGCAGCCGUGCCUGGGAAUGCCCUGGAGAGCACGGGAUGGGCUGCCCACGGCGCCUGGAGCUCAGAUGGGCUUUUCCCACCACCACCACCACGAACUCUGGGAUUCAGACACCUCCUGCCAGCCCUGGGGCACAGGGGGUUUGCUUUGGAUUUAUUGCCCUUUUUUUUCCCGUCCAUAAAGGAGGGAGAUUUCCUUCCCUUUGUCUCAUCUUUAUUUUUUGGUUUUUCUUUGGAAUGGGGUUGGUCACUCUGCAGGAAUCCCCUUCUGCUGGAAGAGAGAACGUGACUCUCCAACGCUCCUGGAACCUUGGGAAAAGCACAAGGGGCUGGAAUACCUGGGAUUUGCUCCUGGAGUGGGGAAAAAAGGAAAUAAAUACAAAUGCUGGGAAUGAUCCCUUUGGAUCAACAUUCUGGAGAGCUUGUGGAGCUGCACUGGGGCAUCCCAGGCUGCUGCCAUCUGGCCACCCCCUGGAAUCUCUUGGAUCCACAUCUGGCUGAGGGGUUUGGCCAGGAAGGGACUUGGCUUGGGCUGGGUUUUCACUGUGACCACUAAAGCUUGGCUUUGCGGGACAUUCCUUCAGGAGGAGCUGGGACUGGAGAAGCUGAAUCCUGUCCCUGGCUCUUCCAGAGGGGAUAACAGAGCUCUGCAAGCGUGGGAGGAUUUCCUAAGGGAGGAAAUCCAAGCAGGGACCAUCCCUGUCCCCUCAGGGUCCAGCAGGGAUCCCACUGGCUCCAGAGGUGAGGAAGGGGAGGCAGAACCAUGGCUCAGCCCAGGGCUGGUUGGAUCAUUGGAAAGAUCCCAAAAUCAAUGCAAACUCCCAGGACUGAUGGUUUUCCAUUGUGUUUUGAAUCCCCAGGACUGAUGGUUUCCCUUCAUUGGUGUUUAAAUCCCAGCACAACCUAUGGGGCCAGAGAGAACCUGAUGCUGACACCCCCAGGUGUCCCAUCUGAGGCUGCCCAGGGUGCAGAUUAAUUAAUUCAGAUAUUUCAAUUAAGGUGUUUCAAUGAGGUGGCUCUUAAUUAGCUGGAGCCCUGCUUGUGGGGUUUAGUUGUCACAAUGGUUGUGAUCUCGAUGGGGUCCCCUGGAGACAUUUGAUUUGCUCUUGGAACAAUUUAAAUGGGAAAAUCUGUGGGAAAAAUUGUUGCUUUGUGAAUUAACAGAGCCAGGGACACUUUGGCUCCUGAGGGGUUGGGGGAUUUAGGGUUUCAUGGCCCUGGUGGGGGUUACACGACAGAAGAGCUUCAUUGUGGAAGGGAUUUGAGGCCAGAAGAAUAUUUUGGAUAUAUAUAAAUACAUAUCUCCACUGCUGUACACCACAGUAACACAGGUGUGGAAGGAAAUGAAAUCCCUGGGAUUUCUCAUUGCUCUGGGAUGCUCAUGUGGGAUUUCAUGUGGGAAUCAUGUGGGAUUUCAAGUUGGGAAGUUGGGAGCUUUGGGCUGCUUUUUCCUGGGACACAACCCAAAAUGACAACCUGGCUUUACUUCCGGAUAGGGAACAGGGCCCCACCAUGGAUGAGCUCUGAAUCCUAAUUUUUGAGCUGUCAGCCUCAAAACCCUCAUGGUUUAGGUUCUUGGAGCUUGGAGCUUGGAGAAGGCCCUGCUGGAUGUUUGGGGUGCUGGUUCUGGGAGUGACCAGUUCCAUGUCCAUCCCGCAGGGAGGAUGAGGAUGAGGAUGAGGAUGAGGAUAAGGAUGAGGAUGAGGAUGCUCCAAAGGAGGAAACACACUCAGAAGGAGCCUGGUGCCAACCCAGAGCCACUUUGUGCUGCUCCAGAGGGGGUUUGGACUCCUGAUUUGAUGAUUUGGAGGAUUUUGGCCCCGAUGGGAUCACACAAGGGGGAGUGGCAAAAGUCAAGGUCACCAAGGCCACCCAAAAUCCCCAUCUUUUGGGAAAACCUGGAUUUAAUCUUUGGAGCUUGCUUUAAAAAAAAAAAAAAUCCCUCCCAGCUUAAUCUUUUUAAUGCUGCUUUUCAGAGCUGCCUCCUUAAUCUUCUUCAUUUCAUUUUUUCCUCCUAUUUAAUAGUCUGAAGUUCCAUAAUACAAUUUUUUUACUCACUCAAGCUUAACCUUGUCCCUCUCAGCUGGUGUUAGGUUGUAAUCCUGGCACUUAAAUCCAUCACAGAUUCAGGAGUGAGGGAAGCUGGAGGUGGGAGGGUGAGAGGAGCCUGGGCAGGGCUUCUGCAGUAAUUAAAAUAUGAGAUGAACACAAUAAAAAAAGGUGAAGGCAGCUAAACUGCUAAUCAGCAGUGAUCAAAUAAUUCAUUGUCUAACUCCUGCUUCCACACUUUUGCUCUCCACCUGAAGAGGGAUGUGAGCUCCAGGAGAAUUUUUUGGGUUUGGAGCCUACUUUUUGUGCUUGUGCAAUGAUGUCACCUCAGCUCCAUGGGGGCUGUUGGAGUCGAUGUUUGAAGGGCAAAAAAAGUCUCGUGCUGGAGGACGUGACCCUGUGCCUCCCUCCAAGGAGCUGGGAUGGAGCUGAAUAUGGGCAGGAUUUUCUGGGGAAGUCCAUCUCCCCAAAAAAUCCUGGAUAAAGCCAUUUCUCCAUGAGCAGAGCCACAGGGAUGGAUAAAACCUGAGGGAUGGUGCCUGGUGCAGGUGGUGUCACUCCUGCUCCAGGGCUUUCCAGGGAUUCCUGGUGGGAACACAGAUGGGGAAGAGGAGAGGAGGUUCCACACAGGAGCUUCCAGCUUCCCCCAGAGCAGAUUUUUGGGAAAAUGAACUUGAGUGGAAGUGUCUCCAGCAUCUUCCCUUCCCAAAGCCGAGUCUGGCAUCAUCUCCUCUGCCCAAAUUCCCAUCCCACAUGGUGAUCCCAGCCAGGAGCAGCUGGAGCAGUGCCCAGAUGUGCUGGUAAUUCCAGCUGUGCUCCUCGAGGGAUUUUUCCAUGGCUUUUCCAUUUCUUUUCCGCCUGUUCCUGCGUGUGUGUGAUGUGCUGGAGCUGCAGGGAGAGCCUUGGCUCUUCCAGCUGGAUAAUUUUAGGAGUUUCUGGAAUUGCAGGGUGGUGUGGGCUGCUCUGCCGGCUGUGCCAGCCUUGGGCUCUCCCUGCUGGAAUUGCAGCAGGAGAAUGAUGGAGAAUAUCCAGCAGGAGAACAGCCAGGAAUUCCAAGGCCACAUCCAAAGGGACGGGAAGAGCAGAGAGCCCAAACCAGGGCUGAAAGGGGAGUUUGGGAAGGGCAGGACAUGGAAGGGGCCCAGCAGCAGCAGGACCUGGCUCUGGGUGGGUUUUGCAGGGAUGGGAGUUGUCCCUAAGCUCCAAAAAUCUCUCUGAUCUUGGAUCUUUCCAUAAAAAGCACCAGGUGCCUGUGUUGGGAUGGAUUUGUCCCUUAGCUCCAAAAGUCUCUCUGAUUUUGGACCUUUCCAGAAUGAGCUAUGCUGGGGAAAUCCAGCUGCAGGGACAGGGAUGGCUCGGGCUGGGUUACUGCCAGGAUGGGCUGGUUGCCUCAAAUUUCCCCUCUCCCUCCCCCAUUUCCCUGACAAUCCCUGUCUGGGAGUUCGUUUGCUCAUCUCCAGCCCCAGCUCCAGCAUUCCAAGCUCUCCCUGCUGUGAAUCCCCAGCUCAGUUCCUUCCACAGGAACAAACCCACCAGCUGAGAACUGGAAUGGAUUUUUUAAUUCCCUUUUUCUCCCGUAACCACCCUUGUCAUGAUCUUUUCUGUGCUCCAAGGUUUUCUGCCAGGCUCUGAAGUAACUCUGAGCUUUCACUCCAGAAAGGUUUGGUGGGAAUGAGCUCCCUGGGAUCCCCGGGAGUGGGGCUGGGGGUGUCUGUGUGUGUAUAUAAUGUGUGUAUGUAAUUAAUGUAUAUGUAGAGAUGUAUAGAUGGGCACGGGGCUGGCGGGCUCUGCUCCUGAGGGAGAAAAGGAGGAGGAAAAAGAGGAAAUGGAGGAGGAAAAAGAGGAAAAGGAGGAGGAUUUGCCCUCCAGCACCACAUGCUGGGCUCUGCAGCCCUUGGCCCCUGUCCCAAGGAAUGUGGGAUUCAGCCUCAUUCCCUGUCCAAGGGAUGCAGGUUUCCCUGCCCAAGGGAUGUGGGUUUUCCUGUCCCAAAGAAUGUGGGAUUCAGCCUUGACCCCUGUCCUAAAGGAUUUGGGAUUCCCCCUCAUUCCCUGUCCCAAUGGACUGAGGAUUCAGCCUUGGCCCCAUUUCCAAGGGAUGCAGAUUUCCCUGUCCCAAAGGAUGUGGGAUUCAGCCUCAUUCCCUGUCCCAAAGGAUGUGAGGCUCCCCCUCUUUCCCUGUCCCAAGGGAUGCAGGAUUCCCUGUCCCACAGGAUGUGGGAUUCAGCCUCAUUCCCUGUCCUAAAGGAUGUGGGGCUCCCCCUCAUUCCCUGUCCCAAGGGAUGCAGAAUUCCACCUUUCCAGUUGCUGCAGCUCCUCCCUCCCCUCUCUGCCCUUCACAUCCUCCUGAUGCCAGUCCCAGUCCCAGUCCCGGUCCCAGUCCCGAUCCCAAUCCUAGUGCCAAUCCCAGUCCUGAUCCCAGUCCUGAUCCCACUCCCGAUCCUGAUCCCAAUCCCCAUCCCAUUCCCAGUUCUGGUCCUGAUCCCUAUGCCAGUCCCAGUCCCAAUCCCAAUCCAAGUCUCAAUCCCAAUCCCAGUCCCAAUCCCGAAACCAAAUCCCAAUCCCAGUCCUGAUCCUGAUCCCGAUCCUGAUCCCAGUCCCAGUCCCGAUCCCAGUCCUGGUCUGGGUGGGUUGGGAUCAGGAGCCUUUUGCCGCUGUAGGGCCGGAGCAGAUCCGGGCUGGGAUCCCGGGGUGGAUCCAAAGCCCCGCGAGCUCCGGAGCCUCCCCAGUCCUUGUGCCGGCAGCUCCCCCUUCUCUUAGAGGAGCCUCCGUCUGCAGAUCCCAACCUUUUAUUUCUAUGUCUAUUUUUCCCAUUAUUAUGAUUUUUGUGUAAAAAAAACCCUGAUUUUUUCACACCCCACACUCCAGCACUUCUCCCAGGACCUCCAGGGCUCCAGGGAUUUUUCCUGCAGGAAUUUCCCCCGUUGAGGAUCCCCCCUGGCCGAUGUCACCCCAGCCCAGCUGACAAUCAAACCAGACUCCCAAAAAACAGGAAUCCAUCGCAGUUUGAUAGAAAAACUUUUUAAAAUCCCCCCCUUCUUUCUCACCACCACAUCUCCAGGAUAAACCAUCACCCAUACUCCUCCUGUAAAUAAACAUUGAACCUUCUUGUAUAAAUUAAAAGUAAAAUAAAUUAAAAAAAUAAAAAAAAUCCAUCAAUAAACAUCUCAAAAAUAAAAUUAAAAAAAAAAAUCUCCCUUUCCAGAAGAUUGAAGUAAUUCCAACUUCAUUUUUUUUUGGAGUUGGUUUCCAAUCCCCAUAGGAGAACAAAACAAGGAUCUGGAACACUGCAAAUGUUGGAGCUUUCAAUGAAUCCGGGAGGGAAAAAAAAUGCAUGUAAAUAUUUUUAAUAGGAGACAUAUCUUAAACAGAACUUUUUUUGUAUGUACAUAACUCUCCUAGAGUUUAGUACUGAAAUGGCUUCAUAGUGUCUGUUUCAAAAAGGAAAGGAAAAGAAAAUGUUUGUUAAUUGUUUUUGUUCUUACUCAAUGGCCAAAACUUUAAAAAUAAUGACAAAAAAAAAAAAAAAAGACUCUAAAAAUAAUCUUUGCCAAUGGAUCUAGCACUGUAAUGGUACUGUCUAUUUUUUUUAAUUAUUUCUGUGCUGUGCCCAUUUAUAAAAUGAGGAAAAGAUAAAAAAAUAAAGUCAUUUAAACAUUGUC